AACAAACGCUGGCGGCGUGUCUUAAGCAUGCAAGUUGAGCGGCAAGGAGGAGAGAUCCUCCCUAGAGCGGCGGACUGGUGAGUAACGCGUGGGUAAUCUAUCGUAGGCAUGGGGAUAGUCACUAGAAAUAGUGGGUAAUACCGAAUACGUUCCAUGAGGGGAGUACUUAUGGAAGAAAGGGUGCUACGGCACUGGCCUUAGGUGAGCUCGCGUCCCAUUAGCUAGUUGGUGAGGUAAAGGCCCACCAAGGCGAUGAUGGGUAGCCGGCCUGAGAGGGUGUACGGCCACACUGGGACUGAGAUACGGCCCAGACUCCUACGGGAGGCAGCAGCUAAGAAUAUUCCGCAAUGGACGGAAGUCUGACGGAGCGACGCCGCGUGGAUGAAGAAGGCCGAAAGGUUGUAAAGCUCUGUCUGGAGGGACGAACAAAAUGACGGUACCUCCGGAGGAAGCCACGGCUAACUACGUG
rnacentral:rRNA from 1 species